rnacentral:lncRNA from 1 species
CUUUCUUCCAGUUCAUCCAUGAGAGCUGUUUCCCUUCAGAAAUGCUGGCUUUUCAUGGGGUUCUCUGACCUGACCCCCUAGCCUGACCAGAUGUCUGGUUAUAUCUACUUUCCCUCUACAUGUAAUCUACUGACCCUGCUCUUGGCCACCAGGGAGCCAAAAACCUGGGUUCCAGUGCUCCCAGAUUUGUGCUUACUGCUGUCAUCUCAGUCAUAUAUUCAGAAGGAUGUUUUAAAUAUUUCCCCAAACAUCUUUAGGUGUUCUGUACUGAAAGGUGCUUUAGAAAAUGGAGUUUCCAAACAGAGCCUAUGUGGUAAGCUCAGAUCCACUAAACAAAAGAGACAGCAAUCCUUGCCUUCAUGGAGCUUGCACACUAAUGGGGGAAGGCAAAAAAUUAAAACCAUGGAUAAGUAAAUAUAUAAUGAUAAACAGUGAUUAGUGCUCAACAGAAAAACAAAGCAGGAGCAGGGAAUAGAAGAAUGCCAGGAAUGGGGAUUGAUUUUAAAGAGGGUGGUUACAGGAGGCCUUAUGGAGAAUGCCACCUGAGCCAACACUUGAGGAGAUGAGAGCCAAGUGAGUGGGUAGCAGUGAAGGCUGCUCCAGGCAAAGGGAACACGACAAUCAACUGUUUGAAAACUCCCAUUGGGUCUCUAUCUCCUGGGAGACGUUAAAACUCUUUGUUCUAGGUUCUAUGGCCCUUCUCUGCCCUGGAGCUCCCCACAGAGAGGCUCUGGUCUUCUCUGUCCCAGGCAUGACAGCUAAUACUCUUCCUUUUCCUGCCCUGUCAUUUCCCUCCUCCUCAAACACAGAUUUUCUUUCCUUAGACACGAUUUCUUCCGCUGUGUUAGUCAGAGCCUUGUGGUGUUUGUUUAAAUAAACAAAUCCGUCAUGAAUACGAUAUGAAAGAAGAUUGGACCUUCAGGCUGACUAAUGACGAACAUGAUGAGUUUCUUAAGGAAGCAGGAGUGAGCAGCAAGUACGAGUUUUUGGAGGCACAGAGUGGGGAAGACUUGCUAAGGCUUGAAUGGGCUUGUCUUGGAGCCAGAGGCAAAUCAGUCUUUUCCUCUUCAAAGGAGUCAGUUUUACUGGAAGUACUACAUAUAAUUAAUUACAUAGGCAUUAAUAUCAUGCUGACAGAAAAACAAAAAAGGAAUGUGUUGCCACACAGAAGAUGCAGAACCACUUUUAUGGCCGAAGUGGAACCAUGGUGUGAUACAGCUUCAAGUGAUCUUAAAGAUCAUCUGGCUCUUGAGCAUCCAGUGAAAAGUGGCUUCCUUGGUCUGAAGAAGCUGAGCGGCCCCUGGCCAUAUCUGCCCCAAAGCAAAGAGAAGCAGCCUGUUUCCCCGUGGUCCAGGCCAGGAAGGGAGCAGAAGGGACUGCAAAGCGUGGACUUCUGAGAGGGGUGAUUCAGGCGGCAGCAGCACCAUCAUGUGUCCUGGGCAUGCCACCAUUAGUCAACGUCAAACGAGUGCGAGGGCCCUGGAAAUACCUGCAGGGGUGACAUUGCAAAAGGUUCUGCCUCAGAAGCUCUCUUCAGAGGACACUGGAUCACCCAGGAAAGUUUAUUUAUAUUCUAGGCAGGAAUAGAAUUUAUGUUAUAGAAAAUAAAGAUUUUAUGUAUUUGUACA